CGCGGCCUAUCAGCUUGUUGGUGAGGUAAUGGCUCACCAAGGCACCGACGGGUAGCUGGUCUGAGAGGACGAUCAGCCACACUGGAACUGAGACACGGUCCAGACUCCUACGGGAGGCAGCAGCAGGGAAUCUUGCGCAAUGGGCGAAAGCCUGACGCAGCGACGCCGCGUGGGGGAUGAAGGCCUUCGGGUUGUAAACCCCUUUCAGGAGGGACGAAGCGAAAGUGACGGUACCUCCAGAAGAAGCCCCGGCCAACUACGUGCCAGCAGCCGCGGUAAUACGUAGGGGGCGAGCGUUGUCCGGAUUUAUUGGGCGUAAAGAGCUCGUAGGCGGCUCAACAAGUCGGCCGUGAAAGCCCGAGGCUUAACCUCGGGACGCCGGUCGAAACUGUUGUGGCUAGGGUCCGGUAGAGGAGAGUGGAAUUCCCGGUGUAGCGGUGAAAUGCGCAGAUAUCGGGAGGAACACCAGUAGCGAAGGCGGCUCUCUGGGCCGGCACCGACGCUGAGGAGCGAAAGCUAGGGGAGCAAACAGGAUUAGAUACCCUGGUAGUCCUAGCCGUAAACGAUGGGUACUAGGUGUGGCGGAUUCAUUGACAUCUGCCGUGCCGAAGCUAACGCAUUAAGUACCCCGCCUGGGGAGUACGG
rnacentral:rRNA from 1 species